UACCGAGGUCCCAAGCGGUACUGAGAUUCACUGGGUUUAAAGGGUGCGUAGGUGGGGCGUUAAGUCAGUUGUGAAAUCCCCGGGCUCAACCCGGGAAUAGCUUCUGAUACUGGCGUGCUUGAGGUCGGUAUAGGUUACUGGAACGGACGGUGGAGCGGUGAAAUGCGUAGAUAUCGUCUGGAACGCCAGUGGUGAAGACGGGUAACUAGGCCGGUUCUGACACUGAGGCACGAAAGCGUGGGGAGCGAACGGG
rnacentral:rRNA from 1 species